AUGGGUGCCCGGCUCCUGGGCAAUGUGAUGUUUUUCCUCCUCGGGGUAGGCCAUGGAGCAGCAGAAGUGACCCAGUCCCCCAGAUACCACAUCACGUUGCCCAAGAGGGAGCUGGAGUUGGAGUGUUCUCAGAGCACAAGCCACGACGUCAUGUACUGGUAUCGGCAAGACCCGGGGCUGGGCCUGAAGCUGAUCUACUACUCCCUUAAUGUUGGCUUAACUGAGAAGGGAGAUGGUUCUGAGGGAUACGAGGUCUCCCGAAUAUACAAGAAGAGUUUCCCCCUGACCCUGAAGUCAACCGCCCUGGAGCAGACCUCUCUGUACCUCUGUGCCAGCAGGGAGGACACAGCGUGGCACAGCUGGCGUCUCUCACACAAAAAGGGCAGCCACAAGGGAGGAGCUCCCCACCCCGGGACCAGCAUCCCACCCUCAGCACCCACCAAAGUCCCUCCCCGGUGCUGA